rnacentral:sRNA from 14 species
GUCAUAGUCCUACCGGCAUUCAGCCGAGGGCUUGUGGGACAAUCCACAAGCCUGUCUAUGACCAGACCAUCCGCCUGAGCCGCAGGACACGGCGCUGACGGCGGAGCGUUGACCAGAGGUUCAAGACCGACGUUGGAAUGCUGCUUCAGUUCCAACCUCUCGA